GCAAUGAUGACUUCUCUAAUAUUGAUUCUGAGAAAUGAUGUGACUGCAUUUCCUCUAAGAAGUUCUGAGCUU